rnacentral:rRNA from 1 species
GACGAACGCUGGCGGCGCGCCUAACACAUGCAAGUCGAACGAGCGAGAGAGAGCUUGCUUUCUCGAGCGAGUGGCGAACGGGUGAGUAACGCGUGAGGAACCUGCCUCAAAGAGGGGGACAACAGUUGGAAACGACUGCUAAUACCGCAUAAGCCCACGGGUCGGCAUCGACCAGAGGGAAAAGGAGCAAUCCGCUUUGAGAUGGCCUCGCGUCCGAUUAGCUAGUUGGUGAGGUAAUGGCCCACCAAGGCAACGAUCGGUAGCCGGACUGAGAGGUUGAACGGCCACAUUGGGACUGAGACACGGCCCAGACUCCUACGGGAGGCAGCAGUGGGGAAUAUUGCACAAUGGGGGAAACCCUGAUGCAGCGACGCCGCGUGGAGGAAGAAGGUCUUCGGAUUGUAAACUCCUGUUGUUGGGGAAGAUAAUGACGGUACCCAACAAGGAAGUGACGGCUAACUACGUGCCAGCAGCCGCGGUAAAACGUAGGUCACAAGCGUUGUCCGGAAUUACUGGGUGUAAAGGGAGCGCAGGCGGGAAGACAAGUUGGAAGUGAAAUCUAUGGGCUCAACCCAUAAACUGCUUUCAAAACUGUUUUUCUUGAGUAGUGCAGAGGUAGGCGGAAUUCCCGGUGUAGCGGUGGAAUGCGUAGAUAUCGGGAGGAACACCAGUGGCGAAGGCGGCCUACUGGGCACCAACUGACGCUGAGGCUCGAAAGUGUGGGUAGCAAACAGGAUUAGAUACCCUGGUAGUCCACACCGUAAACGAUGAUUACUAGGUGUUGGAGGAUUGACCCCUUCAGUGCCGCAGUUAACACAAUAAGUAAUCCACCUGGGGAGUACGACCGCAAGGUUGAAACUCAAAGGAAUUGACGGGGGCCCGCACAAGCAGUGGAGUAUGUGGUUUAAUUCGACGCAACGCGAAGAACCUUACCAAGUCUUGACAUCCCUUGACAGACAUAGAAAUAUGUAAUCUCUUCGGAGCAAGGAGACAGGUGGUGCAUGGUUGUCGUCAGCUCGUGUCGUGAGAUGUUGGGUUAAGUCCCGCAACGAGCGCAACCCUUAUGGUCAGUUACUACGCAAGAGGACUCUGGCCAGACUGCCGUUGACAAAACGGAGGAAGGUGGGGAUGACGUCAAAUCAUCAUGCCCAUUAUGACUUGGGCUACACACGUACUACAAUGGCGUUAAACAAAGAGAAGCAAGACCGCGAGGUGGAGCAAAACUCAGAAACAACGUCCCAGUUCGGACUGCAGGCUGCAACUCGCCUGCACGAAGUCGGAAUUGCUAGUAAUCGUGGAUCAGCAUGCCACGGUGAAUACGUUCCCGGGCCUUGCAC